rnacentral:rRNA from 1 species
AGCGAACGUUAGCGGCGGGCUUAACACAUGCAAGUCGAGCGAGAAAGGGGCUUCGGCCCUGAGUACAGCGGCGGACGGGUGAAUAACACGUAGGUAACCUUCCUUUCAGCGGGGGACAACGGUCCGAAAGGACCGCUAAUACCGCAUACGUUCCCCUGGGACCUCGGUCCUGGGGAGGAAAGGCCCGCAAGGGCCACUGGAUGAGGGGCCUGCGUAGCAUCAGCUAGUUGGUGGGGUAAUGGCCUACCAAGGCGAAGACGCUUAGCUGGCCUGAGAGGAUGAUCAGCCACACUGGGACUGAGACACGGCCCAGACUCCUACGGGAGGCAGCAGUGGGGAAUAUUGGACAAUGGGCGCAAGCCUGAUCCAGCCACGCCGCGUGAGUGAUGAAGGCCUUCGGGUCGUAAA